CCUACGGGAGGCAGCAGUGAGGAAUAUUGGUCAAUGGCCGUAAGGCUGAACCAGCCAAGUCGCGUGAAGGAAGAAGGAUCUAUGGUUUGUAAACUUCUUUUAUAGGGGAAUAAAGGUAUCCACGUGUGGAUAUUUGCAUGUACCCUAUGAAUAAGCAUCGGCUAACUCCGUGCCAGCAGCCGCGGUAAUACGGAGGAUGCGAGCGUUAUCCGGAUUUAUUGGGUUUAAAGGGUGCGUAGGUUGUUUUUUAAGUCAGCGGUGAAAGUUUGUGGCUCAACCAUAAAAUUGCCGUUGAAACUGGAAGACUUGAGUGUGUUUGAGGUAGGCGGAAUGCGUGGUGUAGCGGUGAAAUGCAUAGAUAUCACGCAGAACUCCGAUUGCGAAGGCAGCAUACCGGCGCCCGACUGACGCUGAGGCACGAAAGCGUGGGGAUCGAACAGGAUUAGAUACCCGGGUAGUC
rnacentral:rRNA from 1 species